AUUGAACGCUGGCGGCAGGCCUAACACAUGCAAGUCGAGCGAGCGGCGGACGGGUGAGUAAUGUAUGGGAAACUGCCUGAUGGAGGGGGCUAACUACUGGAAACGGUAGCUAAUACCGCAUACCAUCGGAUGUGCCCAGAUGGGAUUAGCUAGUAGGUUGGGUAAUGGCUCACCUAGGCAACGAUCCCUAGCUGGUCUGAGAGGAUGAUCAGCCAAACUGGAACUGAGACACGGUCCAGACUCCUACGGGAGGCAGCAGUGGGGAAUAUUGCACAAUGGGCGAAAGCCUGAUGCAGCCAUGCCGCGUGUGUGAAGAAGGCCUUAGGGUUGUAAAGUACUUUCAGUGGGGAGGCGUUACUAACAGAAGAAGCACCGGCUAACUCCGUGCCAGCAGCCGCGGUAAUUC
rnacentral:rRNA from 1 species